rnacentral:lncRNA from 1 species
AGAGGUCAAGUCCUCAACGUCAUCAGAGGUCAUCAGAGGUCAAGUCCUCAACGUCAUCAGAGGUCGGGAAAGUUGAUGGAGGAAAACGGUGAUAAUAUCGGACAGACAAGACAGGGCAGUGCUUGAUUUAGGGCCAAGCUAAGCUCGGUUCGUUCAUUUGUCAGGGGGAGGGAUUUAAGGGACGGACUUUCCAGAAUACUUUAGAUUGGAACGCUUUAUCAUAGUUUCUCCUUCAGAACUAAUCUAUUUAGGAUUUCUUUUUUCCUUUUUCUUAUCAUUUUCUUUUAUUCAAAAUGAAAAUCUGGACCAUCUAAUCCAUCUCAGAGUUAUUAUCCUGUUCCAUUCGCUCUGCCUUCCAAAUCACAAUCCGUGUUUAAGGGGUGGAACCAGAGUCAAGGGGACUUUAAGUAGAAAAGGGAGGGAGGGGGAGGAAAGGAAGAGGGGUGGAUGGAUGGGUGGAUUCAGGGUUCAAAUAAACUCUUAAUAAUCAAGAUGAGGUUUCGGUUCUGGUGGCAUGCAUUGAAACACUUGGCUUUCUCUUGGCUUUCUGUUGGCUUUCUGUUGGCUUUCUGUUGGCUUUCUGUUGGCUUUCUGUUGGCUUUCUGUUGGCUUUCUGUUGGCUUUCUGUUGGCUUUCUGUUGGCUUUCUGUUGGCUUUCUGUUGGCUUUCUGUUGGCUUUCUGUUGGCUUUCUCUUGGCUUUCUCUGGGCUUUCUCUGGGCUUUCUCUUGGCUUUCUCUUGGCUUUCUCUUGGCUUUCUGUUGGCUUUCUGUUGGCUUUCUGUUGGCUUUCUCUGGGCUUUCUCUGGGCUUUCUCUGGGCUUUCUCUUGGCUUUCUCUUGGCUUUCUCUUGGCUUUCUGUUGGCUUUCUCUUGCAAAAUAACUUUGAAUUAACUUAUUUAAAAAAUAAUUGUCAACAUAUGAAAUCACAUUAAGCUGGGACGUUCACUAUAUUAAAAGGAACAAUAUCAGGUAUAUUUCACACCAGUAGCUGGGAGUGUCACGUUCUGACCAGUAUUAGGGGUUAUUUGUAUUGUAGUUUGGUCAGGACGUGGCAGAGGGUAUUUGUUUUAUGUGGUUCGGGCUGGUGGUUUGCUUAGAAGGGUGUUUGAUUUAUUAUUUCUGGGUUUUGGGUUAUAUUCUAUGUUUUUUGUAUUUCUAUGUUCUCUCUAGUUUAGUAUUUCUAUGUUAGGUAUUGGGUGUUGGACUCUCAAUUGGAGGCAGGUGUUUGUAGUUGCCUUUGAUUGAGAGUCCUAUAUAUAGGUAUGUGUUUUGUUUGUGUUUUGUGGGAGAUUGUUCUGUGUAUAGCCUUGUGCCUUACCAGACUGUUAUUCUUUGUUGUGUCGUUUUGUGUACGUGUUUAUUUUGUUUUUUCCUUCUUUGUCCUAUUAAUAAAGAAGAUGAGGGCACAUGAUCCCGAUGCGUCUUGGUCCGCUUUAUCCGACGACAACCGUUACAGGGAGAGGGAGGGGAG